AACGAACGCUGGCGGCAUGCCUAACACAUGCAAGUCGAACGAUACCUGCGGGCAUAGUGGUGCAUUGGUGAGUAACGCGUGGGAACCUGCUCAUAGGUUCGGAACAACUCGCCGAAAGGGGUUCACAACUCGAAAAAGGUCCUAAGACCAAAGAUGUAUCGCCUUCGGAUGGGCGCGAGGUGGGGUACACUGUUGGUAGGGUAAAAGCCUACGAAGGCGACGAUCCAUAGCUGGUCUGGGAGGAUGAUCAGCCACACUGGGACUGAGACACGGCGCAGACACCUACGAAAGGCAGCAGUGGGGAAUAUUGGACGCUGGGCGAAAGCCUGAGCCAGCAAGGCCGCGUAGGUGAUGAAGGCCUUAGGAUUGUAAAGCUCUUUUACCCGGGAUGAUAAGAACAGUACCGGGGGAAUAGGCUCCGGCUAACUCCGU
rnacentral:rRNA from 1 species